GGAAGUAAAAGUCGUAACAAGGUCUCCGUUGGUGAACCAGCGGAGGGAUCAUUAUCGAGUCACCACUCCCAAACCCCCUGCGAACACCACAGCAGUUGCCUCGGCGGGACCGCCCCGGCGCCCCAGGGCCCGGACCAGGGCGCCCGCCGGAGGACCCCCAGACCCUCCUGUCGCAGUGGCAUCUCUCAGUCAAGAAGCAAGCAAAUGGAUCAAAACUUUCAACAACGGAUCUCUUGGUUCUGGCAUCGAUGAAGAACGCAGCGAAAUGCGAUAAGUAAUGUGAAUUGCAGAAUUCAGUGAACCAUCGAAUCUUUGAACGCACAUUGCGCCCGCCAGCACUCUGGCGGGCAUGCCUGUCCGAGCGUCAUCUCAACCCUCGAGCCCCCCGCCUCGCGGCGGCGGGGCCCGGCCUUGGGGGUCACGGCCCCGCGCCGCCCCCUAAACGCAGUGGCGACCCCGCCGCGGCUCCCCUGCGCAGUAGCUCGCUGAGAACCUCGCACCGGGAGCGCGGAGGCGGUCACGCUGUGAAACCACCACACCCUCCAGUUGACCUCGGAUCAGGUAGGGAUACCCGCUGAACUUAAGCAUAUCAAUAAGCGGAGGA
rnacentral:rRNA from 1 species